CCUACGGGAGGCAGCAGUGAGGAAUAUUGGUCAAUGGACGAGAGUCUGAACCAGCCAAGUAGCGUGAAGGAUGACUGCCCUAUGGGUUGUAAACUUCUUUUAUAUGGGAAUAAAAUGUUCCACGUGUGGGAUUUUGUAUGUACCAUAUGAAUAAGGAUCGGCUAACUCCGUGCCAGCAGCCGCGGUAAUACGGAGGAUCCGAGCGUUAUCCGGAUUUAUUGGGUUUAAAGGGAGCGUAGGUGGAUUGUUAAGUCAGUUGUGAAAGUUUGCGGCUCAACCGUAAAAUUGCAGUUGAAACUUGCAGUCUUGAGUACAGUAGAGGUGGGCGGAAUUCGUGGUGUAGCGGUGAAAUGCUUAGAGAUCACGAAGAACUCCGAUUGCGAAGGCAGUUCACUGGACUGCAACUGACACUGAGGCUCGAAAGUGUGGGUAUCAAACAGGAUUAGAUACCCCAGUAGUC
rnacentral:rRNA from 1 species